rnacentral:lncRNA from 1 species
UUAUUGGCCCACUUUGUUGCCCUCUCGAGCUACCGUUUGGUUCGGGGUUAAGAAAAAACUAGUUAUUUCAGGGAUAGAGUUAAGUUCAGGGUUAAGGUGGGGUUAGAGUAUUUUUUGUGUUUGGUUGGGGGUUAGAGUUAGUCCAGGAUUAAGAAAAAUAGUGUUUGGUUGGAGUAGGUGGGAUAAGAAGGAUAGUGAGUAAAAUAGUUUUUUUUUUUUGGAAUAAGAAGGAUAGUGUUUUGUUUGGUUGGAGUAGUGGGAUGGGGUGAGCUAACCCCACCCCACAAAUUAGGUGUUUGAGAAUAACUUCGGGGUUAAGGGGUUGUU